ACUAAGUCUGGAAUGUGCAGUUUUUCCAAGUUUUUUAAAAAUCAGCUAUCUUCCUCAUUUGCCUAACUGGAUGAUACAGCAAUACAUUACCAGUUCCUUAUCAGACCUUUCACUCAGGCAUUUUAGUAGUGAAUCACACAUGGAAACUACCUAAACCAUCUGAAUGAAGAGAUAGUUUUGCAAUAUCGUUCGGAAGAAGGCAGCAAAAUUGGCUUUUUUUCCAGUAAAGUGAAUCAUCAUUUAUUUUUUGAUUUCCUUUGUCCUGUGAUUGUGAGGGAUGUAAUGGUUAGAUUGGUAAUUUGGUGUCAGGCAUAAAUCUCAGCCCUUCUUGACAUCAGCUUCCUAUAUGACCUUGGACAAAUUAUUUCGCUCCCCGCCCCCCUCAAAAGCAUUCAAAAAUUCUUUUUCUCCGACUGUCUUCCCAGCAGAGAUGUAUUUUUAUGUGAUUGGAUCUGGUAAAGACAUGUUUGUUUGCACAGCACAACUUUUCAUAAGGCCUCUUCGUUCAGAAAUUAUUUUCCCACACAGCAAUUUAAGUUUUCAGAAGUCGCUACGACUGAACACAUUGAGUUUCUGUCAAACAACUUGCUUUAAUAGGUGCGGGGAUGUUUCCUUUUCUUUCUAGUGCUGUUGUCUGAUGAAAGAAAUCACAGUUGAUACACCUAAAUGUUUUUUUUAAUUAAACCAUUUACAUUUCCCCAUGAAUAAUGUAAUUUUUAAAAAAUCAUAACAAUUUUAAAAAGAAUAAACCAAGUUACUCUUACGUUUUAGCAACUCUUUUCUUAGAAAAAGAGUCCAUUGUGUGUGAUGAUUUCUGUGAUGUUCAUAUGUCUUGCA
rnacentral:lncRNA from 11 species